GUGAUGGUCAAAUAAUGAUGAACAGAAGAAAUUAUGUCCUAAACUCUUGUUUUCACAGUAUUUCAGUUUUAGUUUAGAGUGAGUUUCCUGAUUUCCAUAUUUUCUACAGGUCAUUUGUAACAUUAGGGAAAAAAGAAAAUAAGAAAGGUCGUAACAGUUGUGGAUUGCCUAAUAUGCACAAAUAUUAGGGAUUUCAUACAAUUAUGAGCCAACUUUGGUGUUCCCAAAUGUGUUUCUCCUCACAGUGAAUAUGCAGAGUAGGAGCACAGGUAGACUUGUUCUGAAAACUUGAUAACUUUUUCCCAGUUUCCCCCAACUUUAUGUCACAACCCUAGCAACUCAGAAAUCAUACUUUAAUGAACGCAUUGGUUUUUAAAUUGCAUGGUUGAUUGAUGUGAUAUUUCCAAAAUAGCAUGUUAAUAUCUUUGGUAUAAGAACACAUAAAAACAUUUGAGAUAUCAAAUCUCCCAAUCCUUGAAGAUGUGGGAAAUUGCUAGGGGAAGCAGUGUUUGAAAGGGUCCUUUCCUUCACCCCUACCCCCUGAGGGACUCGACUCAGAAUAGAGAUUAGAGAUAAUUCCAAAGGUUGACCCACUUUGGUGGUUUGUGUUCUGGAACCUCCCUCAGGCAGGUUCUAAUAAGCCCCCUGGGAUAUCUUGCCCCUUUGGAUUCCCUAAUUCACUCCCUGCCUCUAUAACCAGCUCUCUGCAGCAUCUCCACACCUUGAUCACAUAAGACCUGAUUAUUCUCAGGAGUUCCCUGGUGGCAUAGUGGUUAGAACUUGGUGCUCUCACCACUGCAUUCUGGGUUCAGUCCUUGUCCAGAGAACUGAGAUACACACAUCAAGUGGCUACACACCACAGCUAAAAAAAAUAAUAAUAAUAUAUUUUUUAAAAGAAGACCUGACUGUUUUCUCUGUGCUAUAUCCCUUUGCAUACAUUUAUAUUUCAUAUUUGCUCAAGUUUCACUCUGACCACUUUUAGAAGUUGUCCACAGGUUAAAAGUU
rnacentral:lncRNA from 1 species